rnacentral:miRNA from 1 species
GGGCGAAUCCUCUAUUGGCAGG